CGAAAAGUCGUCUCAGUUCGGAUUGGAGUCUGCAACUCGACUCCAUGAAGCUGGAUUCGCUAGUAAUCGCGCAUCAGCCAUGGCGCGGUGAAUACGUUCCCGGGCCUUGUACACACCGCCCGUCAAGCCAUGGAAGCCGGGGGUGCCUGAAGUGCGUGACCGCAAGGAGCGCCCUAAGGUAAAACCGGUGACUGGGGCUAAGUCGUAACAAGGUAAC
rnacentral:rRNA from 1 species